AGUCUGGUGCCAGCAGCCGCGGUAAUUCCAGCUCCAAUAGUGUAUAUUAAAGUUGUUGCGGUUAAAAAGCUCGUAGUUGGAUUUCGGGAAAAAUUUAGGCCUUUAGAUUAGGAUUCAAAAUUGAAUUCUGGUUUAAGGGUUUAAUUUUUUUUUUUCCUUCUUUCCAUAGUUUGAAAAAUCAGAAUUGGUUUUAAAAACAUAAAGGCCAAAAAUAGGUAAAAAAAGGAAUUAUGGAUAGUUUACUUUGAAAAAAUUAGAGUGUUCAAAGCAGGCAUAAUUGUACAAUGAAUAUUACAGCAUGGGAUAAUUGAAUAAGACAGUUUUAUCUUAUUUUUUAUUGGUUUUUAAGAUAAUUGUAAUGAUAAAUAGGGACAGUCGGGGUUACUUGUAUUUGAUCGCUAGGGGUGAAAUCCUAUGAUUGAUCAAAGACAAACUACUGCGAAAGCAUUUAACAAGGAUGUUUUCAUUAAUCAAGAACGAAAGUUGGGGGAUCGAAGAUGAUCAGAUACCGUCGUAGUCUCAACUAUAAACAAUGUCGACUCUGGAUAAAAGAAUAUUAACAUGGAUGAUUUUUUUUGAACAGAUUUUUAGAGAAAUCACAAGUAUUCAGACUCCGGGGGGAGUAUGGUCGCAAGAGUGAAACUUAAAGGAAUUGACGGAAGGGCACCACCAGGAGUGGAAUCUGCGGCUUAAUUUGACCCAACACGGGAAAACUUACCGGGUCCGGACACAAUGAGGAUUGACAGAUUGAUAGCUCUUUCUUGAUUUUGUGGUUGGUGGUGCAUGGCCGUUUUUAGUUGGUGGAUUGAUUUGUCUGGUUAAUUCCGAAAACGAACGAGAUCUUAACCUAUUAAAUAGUUGUAUUAAAAUUGAAUAUAUUUCAAAUAUAUUCAGUUUAUUUGGUAAAAUUUUUCUUUUUUCCCUUUCUUUUUGGUCUAGGGAAAUUUUAUUCUGGCAACAGGGUAAGGUUUUGGGGAAAAAGAGAAGAAAUUAACUUCUUAAAGGGACUAUUCAUAUUUUAAUGAAUGGAAGUUUAAGGCAAAAACAGGUCUGUGAUGCCCUUCGAUGUUCCGGGCUGCACGCGCAUUACACUGAUAUGUUCAAUAAGUUUACUUUUGUCGAAAAUGGGGGAGCAAUCUCUCAUUUUUUUUUUUCCUGGUUUGAAAAGAUUGGGUAAUCUUCAAAAAAUCAUAUCGUGAUUGGGAUAGUGUUUUGUAAUUAUCGCACUUGAACGAGGAAUUCCUAGUAGGUGCAAGUCAUUAACUUGCUCCGAUUACGUCCCCGCCCUUUGUACACACCGCCCGUCGCUCCUACCGAUUGAAUAAUCCGAUGAGAAUUCAGGAUAGAAUGUCUUUUUCAAUUGUCUGAAAGGACAAUUAGGGAUAUUUUAGAAUUUAUUCAAAUCUUAUUAUUUAGAGGAAGGAGAAGUCGUAACAAGGUUUCCGUCGGUGAACCAGCGGAAGGAUCA
rnacentral:rRNA from 1 species